CCUACGGGAGGCUGCAGUGAGGAAUAUUGGUCAAUGGGCGCUAGCCUGAACCAGCCAAGUAGCGUGAAGGAUGACUGCCCUAUGGGUUGUAAACUUCUUUUAUAUGGGAAUAAAGUGCAGUAUGUAUACUGCUUUGCAUGUACCUUAUGAAUAAGGAUCGGCUAACUCCGUGCCAGCAGCCGCGGUAAUACGGAGGAUCCGAGCGUUAUCCGGAUUUAUUGGGUUUAAAGGGAGCGUAGGCGGGUUGUUAAGUCAGUUGUGAAAGUCCGCGGCUCAACCGUGGAAUUGCAGUUGAAACUGGAGGCCUUGAGUGCACACAGGGAUGCCGGAAUUCAUGGUGUAGCGGUGAAAUGCUUAGAUAUCAUGAAGAACUCCGAUCGCGAAGGCAAGUGUCCGGGGUGCAACUGACGCUGAGGCUCGAAAGUGCGGGUAUCAAACAGGAUUAGAUACCCGGGUAGUC
rnacentral:rRNA from 1 species